UACGGAGGAUGCGAGCGUUAUCCGGAUUUAUUGGGUUUAAAGGGUGCGUAGGCGGACGCUUAAGUCUGCGGUAAAAUUGCGGGGCUCAACCUCGUCGAGCCGUUGAAACUGGGUGUCUUGAGUGGGCGAGAAGUACGCGGAAUGCGUGGUGUAGCGGUGAAAUGCAUAGAUAUCACGCAGAACUCCGAUUGCGAAGGCAGCGUACCGGCGCCCAACUGACGCUGAAGCACGAAGGCGUGGGUAUCGAACAGG
rnacentral:rRNA from 1 species